AUUCACGUGUUUUUCAUUGUUCAGAGAACUUUGUAGCUGCAGAUCAGUGGCUUGAAGUUUGACCUCAACUUAGAGAUUCCUCAACUGAGAUCUCAUCUUGAGGAAAGACAAGUGAUUUCCCUGUGGGAAGAAUGAAUGGAAGAGUGCCUACAGUCCGUCCAUGGAAUUCAUUAUCUGGCCAGUUAGACAAGGCCCAAAGAUUGAUUGCCAACAUGUGUGCGAACAAAAGCAAGCUAGACAAUAAUUGGAGGAGAAGACUCAGUUGCGGCUUGAAUGAGAACUGUCUGCCACAUCCUGGGGCAUUUGGGUGCUUCUGAGAGUUUUAAGGCUUUGCUUGCAUUUUACUCUUUCUGCUUUCCAUUCAAGAUGUGGUCUCCCAGCACCCUGCUCGAGCCUAUAUCUGCCUGCUGCCUCCACCCUGUCAUUAUGGACUCCAACACUCCAGAACAAUAGAGCAAAAAGAAAAAGUUUUUCUUCUUUAAGUUGCA